UGUGAUUUGCAAAGGAAAAGAACGUCCUCAGACCAAAACAACAACAGCGAAGACAAAAAACUGUUUCCAUUUGGAAGGAGGACCAAAAGGAAGGAAUAAGACUCUAAAGAAACAGCAUAUACAGACUGGGUUUACUUGUGCUAUGUCCAUCAAGAUACUCAAGUUACUAGAAUGUUACAUUUUGGAGCCUCACGUAUAGAAGAACCUUGCCCUGAAAGAAAGAUGAGGGGAAAUAACUUCAGAUCAAGAUGCAAGAGACCUGAGUUAUAGUUCCUGCUCUGCCACUUAUCAUGUCUGGGUCUUCUGAGAAAACUCCAAGUAUUUUUGGCAAGGAAAAGAUGAUGAUACUGAUGAUGAUGGUGAUGGUGGUGGUGGUACUGAUUAGAGUGCUGAUGGUAGUA